rnacentral:rRNA from 1 species
AUUGAACGCUGGCGGCAUGCCUUACACAUGCAAGUCGAACGGUAACGCGGGGCAACCCUGGCGACGAGUGGCGAACGGGUGAGUAAUACAUCGGAACAUAUCCAGUAGCGGGGGAUAACCUAUCGAAAGAUUGGCUAAUACCGCAUACGAUCUACGGAUGAAAGCAGGGGACCGCAAGGCCUUGCACUAUUGGAGUGGCCGAUGUCAGAUUAGCUAGUUGGUGGGGUAAAAGCCUACCAAGGCGACGAUCUGUAGCUGGUCUGAGAGGACGAUCAGCCACACUGGAACUGAGACACGGUCCAGACUCCUACGGGAGGCAGCAGUGGGGAAUUUUGGACAAUGGGCGCAAGCCUGAUCCAGCCAUGCCGCGUGAGUGAAGAAGGCCUUCGGGUUGUAAAGCUCUUUCGGUGAAGACGAAACGGUUAGCGUUAAUAACG